UAGAGGUAGGUGAGGUUAUGGUAAGAAGGACUGGGAGGAGGACGGCAGGUCAGCACUCUAAUUUGCACCAUCUCCCUCGAACAGUGGGGGCAGGUUCAGUGGCCAGCAUAGUGAGUAGUACAGCUGGUACCCUGUUUCGGCCUUGGAACUGAGUUCCUAGGUGGGAUUUUGUUUGAUUCACCGUCGGGACGACAUUGCAGAAAUUGGGGAUGGAAUGUAACAGGAUUAGGUGAUUGACAGCAGUGUUUGCCUAUCAGUGAAUAGUACUUCCUAUUUAAAGGCCGAUUGGCUGUUACCUGGGAUGCGUCACGUCCGUUUUCCCCCUUUGUUUUGGCUGUGUUGACGGUGGCUGUGGGUAAGUGUGCUGUGUUUUAAUACGGUGACUUAGAAAUUGUUGGCGUGCAUAAUCUAAAACUGUGUUUAUUUAGAAUGCAGUUUUAUGGUCCGGUGCUGCUUUCCUUUUUGUGCUGCUUAGUGGGUUUGAUGACUGUUUGCCUCUCAGUAUAUAUGACUUCUUGUACCCCAUGAUGGUAGCGGUGGGUAUGACUGUGACAAGCCCGUGCCUAUGAAGCAUUUUGUUCGGCGUGAUAUCCUGAUGGAUUCUCCCUCUCGUUCUAUGCUGUGAUUUGUUUGCUGCCGUGAUCGUUUUAUGCCGUGAUUGUUUGCUGCCGUGAGCUCUUGCUGCUGUCUUCGCGCUGUUAAAAGAGCGGCUGUCCAUACAGCCGCGCCGACGAAGUCAUCAACGUUUAUUAAAGGGGACUGCUGGUUUGAUUCUAUUACGUGCCUUUCUAGUGCCCUGCUUCAUGUUUUGGUUUAUUUCAUUAUUAGUUACCAUGGUUAAAUCAUUUAACCUUUUUCUUUUUCUUUUUCUUUAAGUUUGUGGAUAUUUGUUUGAUUGUAUUGCUUUGAUCUUUUUUUUUUGUGAAACUAUAAUCUGUCGACAUGUGCAUGUUUAACCUAUGAAUGCAAUUCAAAUCGUGUGGUGAUUUACUGUAUAGAAGUUGGUGUUUGUAACAAUUUCAGGUGAUUAACUAUCUGAUUUUUUGGUUACAUUGUUGCUUCUCCUCACUUUUGUUUGUUGAUACCACUUAUGUGAGGAGUUGCUGCAUUGAUGUUCAUAUUGCCCUUUCUGUCCAGUUUAUUUUCAAAGUUAU